rnacentral:rRNA from 1 species
CAUCUUUUCUAGAAUUUUAUUUGAAAUCUGACCUGCCCAAUGAUUUUAAUUAAAUGGCCGCGGUAUUUUGACCGUGCAAAGGUAGCAUAAUCAUUAGUUUAUUAAUUGUGAACUUGUAUGAAUGGUUGGACGAGAUAUUAUCUGUCUUAUAUUAAUUAAUAUAAUUUAAAUUUUGAGUUAAAAUGCUUAAAUUUUUUUAAAGGACGAGAAGACCCUAUAGAUCUUUAUUUAUGGAAUUUUCAUAUUUUUUAGUUUAUUUAUUUAUGAAUGUUUUAUAUAUUUUGUUGGGGUGACAUUGAUAUAUGAUAAACUAUUAUUUUUUAAUAUUCAAUUAUUUUUGUAUGGUUGACCUUUUAUUAUUGUUAUAAGAAUUAGAUACCUUAGGGAUAACAGCGUAAUUCUUUUUGAGAGUUCAUAUCGACAAGAGAGAUUGCGACCUCGAUGUUGGAUUAAGAUUAUAAUUAGGUGUAGGUGCUUAANUAAUAA